GGUGGCUUUGGUGGCAGAGGCCGGGGAGGCUUUGGAGGGCGAGGAGGCUUCCGAGGAGGCAGAGGAGGAGGAGGAGACCACAAGCCACAAGGAAAGAAGACGAAGUUUGAGUAGUUUCUUCUAUCCCUGUCUCUCCCUCUUCCAUUUGAAAGAAAAGGACUCUGGGGUUUUUACUCUGUUACCUGAUCAAUGGCAGAGCCUUCUGAGGACAUUCCAAGACAGUAUACAGCCCUGUGGUCUACUUGGAAAUCCGUAUAGAUAACAUUUCAAGGGAGAUAACCCUGUUGGUGUUGACUGGAUAUUCGUAUAAACUUUUUAAAAGAGAUG
rnacentral:lncRNA from 1 species